rnacentral:rRNA from 1 species
CUAGCGACUUCAGAGUUUGAUCCUGGCUCAGGAUAAACGCUGGCGGCGCACAUAAGACAUGCAAGUCGAACGGACUUAACCAUUAGUUUACUGAUGGGGCGGUUAGUGGCGGACUGGUGAGUAACACGUAAGCAAUCUGCCUAUCAGAGGGGAACAACAGUUAGAAAUGACUGCUAAUACCGCAUAUGCCUAAGUAACACAUGUUACAAUAGGGAAAGGAGCAAUCCGCUGAUAGAUGAGCUUGCGUCUGAUUAGAUAGUUGGUGGGGUAACGGCCUACCAAGUCGACGAUCAGUAGCCGGACUGAGAGGUUGAACGGCCACAUUGGGACUGAGAUACGGCCCAG